rnacentral:rRNA from 1 species
UGCAAGUAUCCGCACCCCUGUGAAAACGCCCUUAAAAUCCUUAUAGGAAUAAGGAGCCGGUAUCAGGCACAUUAAAUUGCCCAAGACACCUAGCUAUGCCACACCCACAAGGGAUUUCAGCAGUGAUUAACAUUGAACAUAAGCGUCAGCUUGAUUCAGUUAAAGUACAUAAAGCCGGCAAAUCUGGUGCCAGCCGCCGCGGUUACACCAAGAGGCUUAAGCUGACUUCGAUCGGCGUAAAGCGUGAUUAAAGUCCCCCGGAAAAUAAAGUUAAACUUCUACUAAGCCGUAGUACGCUUGUACGCAGGAAUCUCAAAAACGAAAGUUACUUUAACCUAAACAACUUGAACUCACGACAGCUAGGAAACAAACUGGGAUUAGAUACCCCACUAUGCCUAGCCGUAAACUUUAAAUUACACCAUAAUCGCCUGGGGACUACGAGCAAAGCUUAAAACCCAAAGGACUUGACGGUACCCCACAUCCACCUAGAGGAGCCUGUCCUAUAAUCGAUAACCCCCGCUUAACCUCACCAUUUUUAGCCUAUCAGCCUGUAUACCUCCGUCGUCAGCUUACCACGUGAGCGAAACCCAGUAAGCUCAAAGUCUANUCGUCAACACGUCAGGUCAAGGUGCAGUAAAUAAAAUGGGAAGAGAUGGGNUACACUCUCUAAUAUAGAAAAAACGAAAAACUAUCUAUGAAAUCUAGUUAGAAGGAGGAUUUAGUAGUAAAAA